rnacentral:snRNA from 1 species
UUUGCUUCUAGGCCUUUUGGCUAAGAUCAAGUGUAGUAUCUGUUCUUAUUGGACAGAUUACGAAAUUGAUUGCCUCUGAGGUUUUUUGACGUUACGCUCUCCUCUACGGGGGUGUAUCGGCGAGUACUGAAGCAGAGGGUGGAAUUACAGCGCCACCCUGUGGGUCGAUA